AGCAGCAAAGUCACAAUUAGGAAAACUUGAAAGAAUACAAUCCCAAGCUCUUAGAAUUUGUUGCGGAGCAUAUCCUUCCUCUCCAGUUCCAGCUUUGCAGGUGGAGAUGGGGGAAAUGCCAAUUCAACUAAGAAGGAAACAACUGAUAUUGACAUACUGGGCAAGAACAAAAGGCCAAGAGGUUAAUCAUCCUGUAAAAACACUAAUGGAGGUAUGUUGGCUGUAGAUGGAGGAGCUGAACACGCAGCAACAUCGAAGGCUCGGGUUUUGAAGAGUCAAGAG
ensembl:processed_transcript